rnacentral:rRNA from 1 species
UACGUAGGGGGCAAGCGUUGUCCGGAUUUAUUGGGCGUAAAGAGCGUGUAGGCGGUUUGGUAGGUCCGUUGUGAAAACUCGAGGCUCAACCUCGAGACGCCGAUGGAAACCAUCAGACUAGAGUCCGGAAGAGGAGAGUGGAAUUCCUGGUGUAGCGGUGAAAUGCGCAGAUAUCAGGAGGAACACCGAUGGCGAAGGCAGGUCUCUGGGCCACUACUGACGCUGAGAAGCGAAAGCGUGGGGAGCGAACAGG